CCACGUACACAUACACAUGUGUUGCUCUUUCAAAUAUCUCCACCCGUCUUUCAGCACAGGGCAACUGAGAAAAGAGUGACUACCAUAUAUAGGAAGGAAGAGCGUACUUCAUCCAAUUUUGAAGGCGCCACCGAGCUUC
ensembl:ncRNA C09D8.8 ncRNA